CAAUUUUACCUUUUAAUUGGGCCGUCAUUAAGUCGCUUUCUUGUGCCACCACAAAACUUUCAGGGUAUCUUCUGGAGUCCCUGGGACCCCUUCUAGCAAUUAAAAUUUCCGUAUCCCGGAGGAACAUUCAAAAUGGCGGCAUGUCCAAAAAUCGAGAGUUUCGAAGGUGCUCCCACAAAUCCACAAUUUUCUCAUUCGAAAAUCUGUCACAGAUAUGCAAAAUUGUCAUGGAAUAAAACUUAUUUACACAAAAUUUGACCCCAGAAACUAUGUUGGACCUCUGCGUCCUUUUCUUUUAGUGAAAAAAUAUAAUUUAAUUGAAAGAUUCUUGUCACAAUGCUGAAAACCCAGCGACUCUAAUGCUUCAACUGCAUGCCAAAAACUUCAUCACACCUUCUAGUUACGUGAUUUAUGAGGUUCAAACCUCAGAAUCCCUACCUCUUCCAUAAGAGACAAAUCUCAUUUCCUCGUAAUUUCCUGUUCUAUGGCAUUUGCAGGGACGGAUUUACGUUUUUGGCGCCCUGUGCAGAAAUUUUCGAGGCGCCCCCCUCGCACGUCCCCCCACCCCCGCCUGCGCAUUUCCCAACCCGACGGUCUUCUUUGGUUACUACGUGCUAACUCUAACUAAAUACGAAUAUUUCGAGUGAGUGAAUGAUUCUGGGGCAGAAACCAAAAUCAGGUACCUGUUCCUGUUACUGUUAACUACGAAACUAAGAGAAAGUUUGACCCUUAAAGUCUAGGGUCAGGUCAUU